CACAAACACAAACUAGGGUUUCAGAUUUCAAAACAUUUCAAAACGCCGCUUCCCUGCUCCUCUAUCUCUCUCUGGCGAUUCAGGAACGAUUUCACCAGAUCUGCUCCUCUUUCUGGCGAUUCGGGAACGAUUUCACCAGAUCUAUGAAGUUUCAAUAGAUCGAUGAAGAUUCUGACCUCCUGGUUCCGUUUUCCGGCUUUUAUUGGCGUUUUGCAACAUUCGUCAAGGAUGGAUUUUCGUUUUUUGUAGGUCAUGGUUUGAAGACUAGAUCUGGUGAAGAAUAAUAAGAAUACUCGGAAGGAGACAACAAAAUCAUGGAGAAGAAUCAGAUCUCGGUGGUUGGAGUUCUACAUGCGAUUCUGGUCAAGUAUAUGGAGGUGACCGAGGUUUUAAUUUCAGUACAGUGGAUAAAUUCCCAUAUUUGUGUGUUCAUGUGAAGUUUCGUACAUAUCUCACAUUUUUAUUUAUCAAUGGUGUUUAUUGCUGAAUUUUAUUUUCACAUAUUUGUUUAGAUUAAGUGCGAAAGUUGUAAAAAUGGUCAGGGACCUGUAUGUAGAGAAGAGGAGUCGUUUCUGAUGGUCAAUCUACUGCUUACAGAAGUUAUGAUGAAAGGGUCAUGGCCCCUGAUGAACUUUUGGUGAAUGUAUAUCCUGUAAUUGUUUCAUUGCAUUCAGUGAUUUGAUAUUCACAUGAUAAUCAAUGUGUUGCACAAUUGGCUAUUUGAAAUUUUUUUAUUUUCUUUUUAAAAAGUAGAGAAGUGAAUCCAUUCAAUGAGUUAUAUAUGGUUAUAGAAAUAUUAACUAUCAGUUCUUGAUUUUGGCUGCAUAAUGUGCUAUAUCUGCAGUUUGAUCCAAACAUAGAGAGCCCAAAGGCAAAACUCAGAGGAAAUCGGUGAAGAAAAAUCAGUUCAUGUGCAGCUACAAGAACUUGAGAAAGAAGUGAUUGGGAGUCUUGUUGCUGCUAUACAAAAAUUACAUGAGGUCAAAGUAGAUAGGAUGCUUCUAUGCAAGUUUCAAAUUAAGAAUCAAUUGUCAGCUGUUUUUAUUUCACCUCACCGACACCUCGAAACCAAACCGAAGACCUGUUUUGGCGGUUUUACGAUUUGAAACCGAACCGUGAUCACCCCUGCAAACGACUAUAAACUAACGGUUCUAUAGGUUCCAAAAUAGCAGACCAGUAAAUCGAAUUCUACACAUGAUGAAUCUUCUGCCAUGUCAGCUGCAAUGGAAGGUGUUUACGAGGUCAAUGGUUUGGAGUAUAAAGGGUCCACUAUUGCAUGAGCUGCAUCAAGAGACCAAACCGUGGAUACAUCAGGUCACUGGUGUAUACAAAGAUAAGGAGCAUGCUGAAAUGGAGUUUAUGUGCUAGCUUGGACCUAUACCUAUAGAUGAUGGUGUUCGGAAAGAAUUAACUACUCAGAUCACAACUAGCUUAAAGAGAAACAAGACAUUCUAUACCGACUCUAACAGGAGAGUCUUCAUAUAAAGGGUUCUCGAUUACAGAACUGACUGGAAUCUGGAAGUUAAUGAGCCAGUUGCUGGAAAUUACUACCCAAUAAACCUUGGAGCUUAUGUUGAGGACGGAAGUAAGGAGCUUUCGGUGUUAGUAGAUCGUGCAGUAGGUGGCUCGAGUUUAUUAGAUGGUCAAAUAGAACUAAUGCUCCAUAGGAGGCUUCGAUACUUCCAUGGAACCAAAAACUCUGAGCCAAAUCAGAUAGAUUGAAAUUUGUCUAUAAAUAAAAUGGGUAGUUUAAACUCUAUGCUAUCUGUUGAAUGUUUGCAAUCUAUACCAUUGGUUUCAAAGAACUCUAUCAUAAUCUUCGGAAUGGAUGUGUCGAAACAUGCUGUUCGAUAUGAUUUGGAAGCUAAACUGGCUUCCAAACUAACAAUUGAAAGUGGUAAGGUUGGUGUUAGUUUGGAUGAGGAAAAGAAGAUUGGUGAGAAGAACAGCUCGGUUUCAGAUAAAGCGAGUGAUGGGAACAGCAGCCUUCUGAAGACGAGCGGGAGCGCGCGUGUCGAUUUUGUGGAGAGUGGGAAGAGUAGUAUGUGUAGAGGAAGCACAAGCAGCAAUGUGAGUGAUGAAAGUAGCUGUAGUAGUUUCAAUAGCAGUAUCAACAAGCCGCAUAAGUCGAAUGAUAUGCGAAGGGAAGCUAUUCAAGUGGUUCGAGCGCAAGACGGGGCGUUGGGUUUGACCCAUUUCAUAUUGUUGAAGAGAUUAGGGUGUGGUGAUAUUCGUAGUGUUUACUUGGCUGUGUUAGCCGGGACGAAAGCGUAUUUUGCUAUGAAAGUUAUGGAUAAAGCGUCUUUACCUAGCUGUAAGAAGCUUCUUCGAGCUCAAACCGAGAGAGAGAUUCUGCAAUCGUUGGACCACCUGUUUCUUCUAACGUUAUACACUCAUUUUGAGACCGAUAAGUUUUCGUGUUUGGUGAUGGAGUUUUGUCCCUGAGGAGAUUUGCAUACUCUCAGGCAAAGACAGCCCGGGAAAGACUUCACCGAGCAGGCUGUCAAGUGCCAAAUCCUCUGUUUGAUCUUGCUGGCAUAAUGUGCUGGCAAAAGAGUGAUUGAUCAUUUAAUUGGUUUAGAAACCUUUUAAUUAGAAAUCCGUGUUGCAUAUUUGUACAUCUGCUGAAGUAAGGCAACAAACUGCUAAAGAUUCUUGCCUGAGGCUUAAGAUAUGUUCAUGAAGAACGCAGAGUAGGCUGUUUUGUGCAUUCAGACAUGCGGGCUGCGGCCAAACAACAUCCUUAUAGACAUGCUGCAAUUAUAAUUCAUUAUUAUAUAGUAGUCUCCCUUCUAUUACGAUGUAAUCCCAACUAACAAUGACAUAUAUAUUAGUAUUAUAAUUAUUUAUAUUUGUAAAUUUUAUUUUAGCAUAAUUUAGAAAAAGAAAUUUGUGUGCA